rnacentral:lncRNA from 1 species
GCUUUUAUUGUUUUGAGGAAUGUUCCUUCAAAACUGAGUUUGUUGAGAGUUUUUAACAUGAAGGAAUGUUAAAUUUUAUUGAAAGCCUUUUCUGUAUCUAUCGAGAGUAUCACUCUGUUGCUCAGGCUGGAGUACAGUGGUGUGAUCAUGGAUCACUGCUGCCUUGACUUUCGGAGCACAGAGAUUUGGCCUUCACGAUGCUAUGUAAUCCCCAGGAGAAGCACGUUGAAAACUGAGUGAGUUUCUU